GCGCUCCGCCGCUCCGCACGCGAGGGGCGCAUGCCGCUGCUCGGCGUAGGUGAUGCAAACUCCUUCCUCUACACCACCAAUCGCAAAUCCGACGCUCUCAAGGUCAAUGAGAGGAUUAGCUUCAUGCUUUGGCAGAAGGCGGGACACCACGCUGCCGCUUAUGACACUUGGUCAGAAUCGGUGCUGGUAAAUUCGUUGUCUCACCAGACCGUAGCGCAGCAAGCAGGACAAUGGGAUCCCCGUUCUCUUGUUGACCCGAUGGCCAGCUCCCCCUCCUCCCAAAUUUAGCGACCGCCACCGCUGAUCGAUGCAGGGUCGCAGGAAAUGCACCUUCCUUUACUACACCCUAACGAUUUGGGAGGUAUGAAGCGCCGAUCCAAGCAGUGCAAAUCAGAGUUAGAGCGGCGCUGGGGAAGCACGCAUUAUGUGCGGCGGAAGGUACAAAAGAGGAGCAGAUUUUCUCCACCUACUCGGAGUAUUUGACUACCAGCUUGGCGUCCUAGCUCAUUAUCAGCAAUAAGCCAUUUGAGAGUGAGUGUCGCUGGAUGACAUCACCAUGCUAUCAGGUUUGCCCCGAGACGAAUUGCCAAAGUUUUCAGCAGAAAAAAUAUCACUAAAGGUGACCUCUUCUCCUUUUCCGUUAAUCUUUUAUCUUCGUUUGGCUAGACAAAUAUUAGUGCCCAACUGUUACACAUGCAGCAAUCGUGUGUCAUUCCAUAGACAAAAAAAGAACGGGAGUGACCUUCCAAGCUUACUUUGAGGACUACUUAUUUAUGCCAUAUUCAGAAGACAGAACAGUACAUUUACAGUGAUCAAACGAAUGAUAACUACAUGCUAUCUGAUGGCCACAGUGAUGGGUAGUGAACACCGCUGAAAAAUUGCAAUAUCCACAACUUUCAGUCCGCGGGCUAUAUAAAUUAAGUUGCAGAAACUGAACACCACUAAGCUAUGUGAUGGCCACAGUGAUGGGUAGUGAACACCGCUGAUAAAUUGCAAUAUCCACAACUUUCAGUCACGCGGGCUAUAUAAAUUAAGUUGCAGAAACUGAACACCACUGAGGCAGAAGGAAGUAAAGAGAAGACUAAAGGAAAAGAAGAAAUUACCGCCGCAGCCCCGUCAGGAACCUCCUCCGAGACUCGGCAUCAAAGAGUAAAGGAGAGACACGAGCUCGCCCACGCCGAUGACCUGAUCCCUGGCCUACACCUUGGACAGGUUGCAUGACAGGCAAACCAGCAUGAGGCAAAGCAGCAGCCCCAGAAGGUCGACGAUCACAGCCAGCAGAAG